UGUUAAAAAUUUCAUCGAUUUCUACCGUUAAAAACUGACUUGACUGACAAAAUAACCAAACAGUUACACGUGGCAUGCCACGUGUAUCUCAUUCAGACAUAUAAUAACUAGUUUUUAAUAGUAAAAAAGGAUGAAAUUUUUAACA
rfam:Gossypium hirsutum cultivar TM-1 chromosome 24, whole genome shotgun sequence